AGCAGCCGCGGUAAUUCCAGCUCCAAUAGCGUAUAUUAAAGUUGUUGCAGUUAAAAAGCUCGUAGUUGAAUUUCGGGGUUAGUAGGUUGGUCAUGCCUCCGGUAUGUACUGAUCUCACUGAUUCCUCCUUCCUUAUGAACCGUAAUGCCAUUAAUUUGGUGUUGCGGGGAAUUUGGACUGUUACUUUGAAAAAAAUUAGAGUGUUUAAAGCAGGCUAACGCUUGAAUACAUUAGCAUGGAAUAAUGAAAUAGGACGUUCGAUCUUAUUUUGUUGGUUUCUAGGAUUGACGUAAUGAUUAAUAGGGAUAGUUGGGGGCAUUAGUAUUCAAUUGUCAGAGGUGAAAUUCUUGGAUUUAUUGAAGACUAACUACUGCGAAAGCAUUUGCCAAGGAUGUUUUCAUUAAUCAAGAACGAAAGUUAGGGGAUCGAAGACGAUCAGAUACCGUCGUA
rnacentral:rRNA from 1 species